rnacentral:rRNA from 1 species
CCUACGGGAGGCAGCAGUGAGGAAUAUUGGACAAUGGGCGCAAGCCUGAUCCAGCCAUGCCGCGUGCAGGAUGACGGUCCUAUGGAUUGUAAACUGCUUUUAUGCGAGAAGAAACACCCCUACGUGUAGGGACUUGACGGUAUCGUAAGAAUAAGGAUCGGCUAACUCCGUGCCAGCAGCCGCGGUAAUACGGAGGAUCCAAGCGUUAUCCGGAAUCAUUGGGUUUAAAGGGUCCGUAGGCGGUUUAGUAAGUCAGUGGUGAAAUCUUCCCGCUCAACGGGGAAACGGCCAUUGAUACUGCUAGACUUGAAUUAUUAGGAAGUAACUAGAAUAUGUAGUGUAGCGGUGAAAUGCUUAGAGAUUACAUGGAAUACCAAUUGCGAAGGCAGGUUACUACUAAUGGAUUGACGCUGAUGGACGAAAGCGUGGGUAGCGAACAGGAUUAGAUACCCUGGUAGUCCACGCCGUUAAAACGAUGGAUACUAGCUGUUGGGUGUCGAACUACAGUGGUCGUAGACGAAGUAGUAGUAAGUAGUACCGACCGUACGGGAGGUACGGUUACGCGUAAGUAAGUAGUUAAACGUUAAAGUUAAGUUAAGUUAGUACGGCGUUGAGACGUUAGACCGACGGACGACGACGAGGGAGGAGG